GAGUUUGAUCCUGGCUCAGGAUGAACGCUGGCGGUCUGCUUAACACAUGCAAGUCGAACGGAAUCUUUCGGGAUUUAGUGGCGGACGGGUGAGUAACGCGUGAGAAUCUGCCUUCAGGUUCGGGACAACAGCUGGAAACGGCUGCUAAUACCGGAUGUGCCGAGAGGCGAAAGCUUAAGUGCCUGGAGAUGAGCUCGCGUCUGAUUAGCUAGUAGGAGUGGUAACGGCACCCCUAGGCGACGAUCAGUAGCUGGUCUGAGAGGAUGAUCAGCCACACUGGGACUGAGACACGGCCCAGACUCCUACGGGAGGCAGCAGUGGGAAAUUUUCCGCAAUGGGCGCAAGCCUGACGGAGCAAGACCGCGUGAGGGAAGAAGGUCUGUGGAUUGUAAACCUCUUUUGAUAGGGAA
rnacentral:rRNA from 1 species